rnacentral:rRNA from 1 species
GACGAACGCUGGCGGCGUGCUUAACACAUGCAAGUCGAACGGAAAGGCCCUGCUUUUGUGGGGUGCUCGAGUGGCGAACGGGUGAGUAACACGUGAGUAACCUGCCCUUGACUUUGGGAUAGCUUCAGGAAACUAGGGCUAAUACCGGAUAGGAGCUCCUGCUGCGUGGUGGGGGUUGGAAAGUUUCGGCGGGUGGGGAUGGACUCGCGGCUUAUCAGCUUGUUGGUGGGGUAGGUGCUGACCAAGGCUUUGGCGGGUAGCCGGCCUGAGAGGGUGACCGGCCACAAUGGUCCUGCGGUACGGCCCAGACUCCUACAGGAGGCAGCAGUGGGGAAGAUUCCACAAUGGGCGGAAGCCUGAUGCAGCAACGCCGCGUUCGGGAUGACGGCCUUUGGGUUGUAAACCGCUUUCGCCUGUGACGAAGCGUUAGUGACGGUACUGGGUAAAUAAGCACCGGCUAACUACGUG